rnacentral:lncRNA from 1 species
CCCAAUGAUGGAGAAGAGGAUGGAAUAGCGUAAGAAAUAGAUAGGUUUAAUGACCUUGUGUUUAAAGACGCGGGGCCUGCGCUCGAAUUGUGCAAGACUAACAAGGUACUUGUUAUUCCAGGAUUACUGUACGUGUGAUUACUCGUAGUAAAGAUCUUCGUGUAUGCUAGAGGCUGUUAUAAGGAUCGUCUCCUCCGAUUGGCAUUACUAAUCUGCAACGAAUGUCACGUGCUCAAUAUUUUUUUUUUCUUUCUUUGUCCGCUAAAGAAGCGUUGGAUUACUUCUUUCGUAGCCGCGGCACCGUUGGAAUUCCGCGAUCUCUUCUUCCAUGCGUUCCGGCGGAAACUCGCCCGGGAACGGCGGCAGCGUUCCGCGCAAUAACUAAAACGCGCUGCAGCGUGACGUCGUAAGGAGCUGGCGGCGUGUCGAGUUCUGCUGUAACAGGACAACAGCGUCUUGAGGUCGCGCGUGGUCGGCCGUUCGCCCCGUCUCUUGCUUCUUCUUCUUCUUCUUCCUAGGCCUCAGACAAAGCUGCCCAGAGUCGGCGACGGGCACCUUAUGCGCUCACGAGUGCGUCCAGCUCUAGCUACGACCGGUAUGACGCGCGUGUGAUCAUCGCGGUAACCAUUUUCGGCGGCAGACUCCAGAGGCGGUGUAAGUGACUGCGAAAUGCGGAAGUCUGGAGGAGGGAGGUGUGCCGAGCGGCUUCUUCUAAUCUAGACGACACUGUGAGGGAAAGAGGGCGAGUGGAAGGAGGUUGAGGGCUGCUAUUGCGCUUUGGACGGCCGGCUGCGUGUGCCGUUUCCUCGGCGCCAUCUGCACGCUCUCGACGCAUGCGCAGCGACGGCGUUACGUAAGUGACAGGUGAUCGUUCAUCCAUCGUCGACAUCACACGGAUGUGCUCUUGCUCCUCCUCUCACCCUUACGUCUCUCUUCUCUCCCACUCCUCUGUACUAACAAUCGUUGUUGCCUCUAGUUCCUCCUUUGAUUUUAUGUUUUCCUUCUAUUCUGCUCCUUUUCCUUCUGUCUUUCUUUUUUUUCCCCUCUCUAUUCCGUUCCCUCUGUCCUUCGGUCAGCAGGGAAGGAGGCGGUGCCCCUCGACUGUCGCCCGUGGUCUCCAGGUGGCAACGCCCGCGGCGUUGUUGGAACAGCAGCGCUUUGGCACGACAUUUCCUAACGUUUUAGGAACGUUCAAGGCUUUACUGCAAUCUUGUUUUUCUUCCCCCACCGUUGGCCAGGAGAAAGUGCGGUUACUGCGAUUCUGGUUGCCUUUGGUACGUAUGGACCUAGGGUUUGCUGUACUUCCAGGCGGAAGGCGCGCGCGAAUAUUUUCGCUCGUUAGUAGCUUCCGCCUUCUAUGGACAUGUCACUGAUAUAUUCGAACGGUUGGUUCUGAUUUUCACGUAUCAAUCUGUUGUGUGUCCUAAGGAAAUUGUGUUUGCCAUUCACUUCCUGGCUGUGAGUCGAGUUGGCUCUGCAUUUCACUUUUCUAUCCGGUAGGUUGUGUUAUGGCGGUCCACUGAGACAAUGUCAGAUGCGUCGCAUAUGGGUUUGAGAUAUCCGCUAAAAGGUCCUGACUAUUUUGUUUUAUUUUGUAGAGUGUACAGUAUUAAGCGCGUUAACAACCGGUACUAUGUAGGGAAUACCUUACUACAGAUGGGCGGACGCCCAUAGGCCUGUCUGACGCCACCGUUCCAUUCAUCGAGCUUCUGAUGAGCUGAAUUUUGACUUAAUCCCGCCAGAGAGAUUGAGCGCAAAGAAUUGUCCAUCUGCGUCCGCUACUCGCACGUCCGACAUUUUUCUUUGGUUUUCUACGUGGGACGCCUUUUUAUUUCGCCUGUCAGUACGCACGCAAAACGGUUGCGACAGCAACAGAAGUGAGGCCGCCGCCCUCCGCUUCGCUCGACUGUGCCUCGUGAUUCCAGCUGUUCUUGACAUGCAGGGGAAAUUGAGGUUCGACUCUGAAUGCACGGAACGCUUUAGUUUUCAUUGCUACGGCUGACUUUUUCUGUUUUCCCGAAGGUCGCAGGUGCUUUGUACAGAGGGGCGCUUGGAUCUUUCCGUACCGAAGCAGGUUCCUCUUCAUUCGCGCAGUUGUUGCGUCGGCGUCCAAUUUAACUUCGUUCACGUGGUCAGCGGGUGCAAAGCAGCUGCCGGAACGUCGAAUCAUUUUUUUUUUUUUUUUGCUCGUGUAAGGACUUACGCUAGUUUCUGCCAUGCGUGCGAUCGGCGUCGACGCCAACAUGUCACCUGUAGUCCAUUUGUCGUUGCGCUCAUGGUGCAAUGAAUCCGCAGUACACUUGCCACCGGGCUGUGUAAUGAGGUAAGAGUCGGCGAUGUAUAUUAAUUUCGCUAGAUCCAA